rnacentral:rRNA from 1 species
GAUGAACGCUGGCGGCAUGCCUAACACAUGCAAGUCGAACGGCAGCACGGGGAGCUUGCUCCUUUGACGUUGGCGACGGGCGGGUGAGUGACCAGUACAUCACCAUCCUCUAUGACUGGGGUAACUACGGGAAAACGGAUACACUAACAGCUCAUAUGUUGAACCGCAUGGUUCACUAGUUCUUGAGGGCUUUGCUGUUCCUAUUAGCCGGUUUCGCGUCGGAUUAGCUAGUUGGUAAGGUAACGGCUUACCAAGGCGACGAUGCGUAGCCGAUCUGAGAGGAUGAUCAGCCACACUGGAACUGAGACACGGUCCAGACUCCUACGGGAGGCAGCAGUGGGGAAUCUUGGACAAUGGGCGCAAGCCUGAUCGAGCAAUGCCGCGUGAGUGAAGAAGGUCUUCGGGUUGUAAAGCUCUUUUGUUAGGGAAGAACAGAUGUAGGCUAAUAUACGGACGUCAUGACGGUACCUAAAGAAUAAGCAACGGCUAACUACGUG